rnacentral:rRNA from 1 species
AUUGAACGCUGGCGGCGUGCUUAACACAUGCAAGUCGAACGGAGUGGCGGACGGGUGAGUAACGCGUAGUCAACCUGCCCUUCACAGGGGAUCACCACUUGAAAACGACUGCUAAUCCCGCUUACUGAAGGAGGGGUUUGCGUCUGAUUAGCUAGUCGGAGGGGUAACGGCUAACCAAGGCGACGAUCAGUAGCCGGUCUGAGAGGAUGAACAGCCACACCGGGACUGAGACACGGCCCAGACUCCUACGGGAGGCAGCAGUGGGGAAUAUUGGACAAUGGGCGAAAGCCUGACCGAGCAACGCCGCGUGAAUGAAGAAGGUUUUCGGGUCGUAAAGCACUUUUGUUAGAGAAGCGGUAUCUACAGAAGAAGCAACGGCUAACUACGUGCCAGCAGCCGCGGUAAUUC